AGUUAGAGAACUUGAACAAGUAUAUAUUUUGAAAAUAUAAGAAAGAAUUAUUUCUUCUAAUUU
rnacentral:tRNA from 1 species